rnacentral:other from 1 species
AGUUACCUGGGAUGUUCGAUACCCCGUAUAUUUUUGAACCUACAGUAUGAUGAACGGGAUUCCUAUAUCUUUAAGUGGAUGUCAGGCCUCCGAAUGCGCAGUGGAAGGCAGAAGCUUAUUUGCGGUUACCCACCUGGCGAAUAGCUAGGCGUCAAAAAAGGGGCCGGCAUUCUGGGGCUACA